rnacentral:tRNA from 1 species
GCAGGAUUGGUCUAUCGGUAGGGCUCCAGCUUCCCAAGCUGGCUGGGCGGGUUCGACUCCCGUAUCCUGCU